GGCCCGAGCUCGGCCAGCAAGGCUGCAGGCUGCCAAGGCAGCAGCGGCUGCGCGCGGGGCCAGUGACGACGGCACGCCGGCAGUCGCCGGAGGUCGGGCAUGGCCAGGGGAGGGGGCCCGAGGGUGAGAACAUUCCUGGGUUGCCCACGUAUAGGAAUGGAGGAGGUUGGUGGGUUAAUUGAGAGGGAAUGAUGGAGGGGGUGGCCGGGUUCGAGUUUUCCGGCGGCCGGGGCACCCGCCGGCGGCCGGGGUGCGCGCAAGGGUUGGGCAGGUGUGCAGAGGUGUCGGCUAGGGCGAAGUUGGGGAUUGGUAACGGCUGGUCUAGGGUUUCCAUGGUGAAAACCUAGCUACCCAAUAUAUAUUUUGCAUAAAAUGCGAACUAGUCCCCCAAAAGUCAUUAUUUGCAACCCAGCCCUUCACAGCGUGAGUGAUUUGCGCUAACACACCUCUAUGUUUGAUCUCACGCGAUUCGAUACAUAAAAUGUCGCGCUUUUCGCGGAUUUUCCGUUUUGCCACUUUCGACCUCUUAAUAAACUUCAUGCAUUAUCGGACAAUCCGUUCAUCGGAUUUCCGAACGGAUUGCACCAUCGCGUUCAGCACGAUGAGGGCAUCAAAACUGCCAUUUUGUUUCGUCAGAUUUGACCUCCGAUUCACGACGAAAUCCGUCUGCUCUCCAAUUUCAAAAACUACACACACAUACCAAUGUGUAAUCCCGCUAAAUCCUUUGAUUCAAAUUCAAAUUUGAAUCUCCUACCACUAGUAGGUAUCUAUAACAUCCCUCACCUUACUCUUGGUCACAUACAC
rnacentral:lncRNA from 1 species